CUCACUGGUUGCAUCUCUUUCCUGAACCACAAGACAGAGAGACAGUGUCUAGACAGACAAAGCCAAUUCAAUAAACUAUAAGAAGACAAGACUUGAGAACCCCAGAAAUCAACAAAAUUUUCUUAAAAAUAGAAGGUAUAUGUAUAGGACAAUUAGGAAUUAACAUUGACAUUUUAACCUACAAUAAGAAUCCAAAGCUGGGGCUGGGGAUUUACCUCAAGUGUAUGCGCCUGCCUGGCAAGUGUGAGAUAUUGAGGUUGAUCGACAGUAAAAAAAAAAAAAAAAAAACAAAGAAGUAAA